AGCGUACACGGUGGAUGCCCUGGCAGUCAGAGGCGAUGAAGGACGUGCUAAUCUGCGAUAAGCGUCGGUAAGGUGAUAUGAACCGUUAUAACCGGCGAUUUCCGAAUGGGGAAACCCAGUGUGAUUCGUCACACUAUCAUUAACUGAAUCCAUAGGUUAAUGAGGCGAACCGGGGGAACUGAAACAUCUAAGUACCCCGAGGAAAAGAAAUCAACCGAGAUUCCCCCAGUAGCGGCGAGCGAACGGGGAGCAGCCCAGAGCCUGAAUCAGUGUGUGUGUUAGUGGAAGCGUCUGGAAAGGCGCGCGAUACAGGGUGACAGCCCCGUACACAAAAAUGCACAUGCUGUGAGCUCGAUGAGUAGGGCGGGACACGUGGUAUCCUGUCUGAAUAUGGGGGGACCAUCCUCCAAGGCUAAAUACUCCUGACUGACCGAUAGUGAACCAGUACCGUGAGGGAAAGGCGAAAAGAACCCCGGCGAGGGGAGUGAAAAAGAACCUGAAACCGUGUACGUACAAGCAGUGGGAGCCUCUUUAUGGGGUGACUGCGUACCUUUUGUAUAAUGGGUCAGCGACUUAUAUUCUGUAGCAAGGUUAACCGAAUAGGGGAGCCGAAGGGAAACCGAGUCUUAACUGGGCGUUAAGUUGCAGGGUAUAGACCCGAAACCCGGUGAUCUAGCCAUGGGCAGGUUGAAGGUUGGGUAACACUAACUGGAGGACCGAACCGACUAAUGUUGAAAAAUUAGCGGAUGACUUGUGGCUGGGGGUGAAAGGCCAAUCAAACCGGGAGAUAGCUGGUUCUCCCCGAAAGCUAUUUAGGUAGCGCCUCGUGAAUUCAUCUCCGGGGGUAGAGCACUGUUUCGGCAAGGGGGUCAUCCCGACUUACCAACCCGAUGCAAACUGCGAAUACCGGAGAAUGUUAUCACGGGAGACACACGGCGGGUGCUAACGUCCGUCGUGAAGAGGGAAACAACCCAGACCGCCAGCUAAGGUCCCAAAGUCAUGGUUAAGUGGGAAACGAUGUGGGAAGGCCCAGACAGCCAGGAUGUUGGCUUAGAAGCAGCCAUCAUUUAAAGAAAGCGUAAUAGCUCACUGGUCGAGUCGGCCUGCGCGGAAGAUGUAACGGGGCUAAACCAUGCACCGAAGCUGCGGCAGCGACGCUUAUGCGUUGUUGGGUAGGGGAGCGUUCUGUAAGCCUGCGAAGGUGUGCUGUGAGGCAUGCUGGAGGUAUCAGAAGUGCGAAUGCUGACAUAAGUAACGAUAAAGCGGGUGAAAAGCCCGCUCGCCGGAAGACCAAGGGUUCCUGUCCAACGUUAAUCGGGGCAGGGUGAGUCGACCCCUAAGGCGAGGCCGAAAGGCGUAGUCGAUGGGAAACAGGUUAAUAUUCCUGUACUUGGUGUUACUGCGAAGGGGGGACGGAGAAGGCUAUGUUGGCCGGGCGACGGUUGUCCCGGUUUAAGCGUGUAGGCUGGUUUUCCAGGCAAAUCCGGAAAAUCAAGGCUGAGGCGUGAUGACGAGGCACUACGGUGCUGAAGCAACAAAUGCCCUGCUUCCAGGAAAAGCCUCUAAGCAUCAGGUAACAUCAAAUCGUACCCCAAACCGACACAGGUGGUCAGGUAGAGAAUACCAAGGCGCUUGAGAGAACUCGGGUGAAGGAACUAGGCAAAAUGGUGCCGUAACUUCGGGAGAAGGCACGCUGAUAUGUAGGUGAAGUCCCUUGCGGAUGGAGCUGAAAUCAGUCGAAGAUACCAGCUGGCUGCAACUGUUUAUUAAAAACACAGCACUGUGCAAACACGAAAGUGGACGUAUACGGUGUGACGCCUGCCCGGUGCCGGAAGGUUAAUUGAUGGGGUUAGCGGUAACGCGAAGCUCUUGAUCGAAGCCCCGGUAAACGGCGGCCGUAACUAUAACGGUCCUAAGGUAGCGAAAUUCCUUGUCGGGUAAGUUCCGACCUGCACGAAUGGCGUAAUGAUGGCCAGGCUGUCUCCACCCGAGACUCAGUGAAAUUGAACUCGCUGUGAAGAUGCAGUGUACCCGCGGCAAGACGGAAAGACCCCGUGAACCUUUACUAUAGCUUGACACUGAACAUUGAGCCUUGAUGUGUAGGAUAGGUGGGAGGCUUUGAAGUGUGGACGCCAGUCUGCAUGGAGCCGACCUUGAAAUACCACCCUUUAAUGUUUGAUGUUCUAACGUUGGCCCCUAAUCGGGGUUGCGGACAGUGUCUGGUGGGUAGUUUGACUGGGGCGGUCUCCUCCUAAAGAGUAACGGAGGAGCACGAAGGUUGGCUAAUCCUGGUCGGACAUCAGGAGGUUAGUGCAAUGGCAUAAGCCAGCUUGACUGCGAGCGUGACGGCGCGAGCAGGUGCGAAAGCAGGUCAUAGUGAUCCGGUGGUUCUGAAUGGAAGGGCCAUCGCUCAACGGAUAAAAGGUACUCCGGGGAUAACAGGCUGAUACCGCCCAAGAGUUCAUAUCGACGGCGGUGUUUGGCACCUCGAUGUCGGCUCAUCACAUCCUGGGGCUGAAGUAGGUCCCAAGGGUAUGGCUGUUCGCCAUUUAAAGUGGUACGCGAGCUGGGUUUAGAACGUCGUGAGACAGUUCGGUCCCUAUCUGCCGUGGGCGCUGGAGAACUGAGGGGGGCUGCUCCUAGUACGAGAGGACCGGAGUGGACGCAUCACUGGUGUUCGGGUUGUCAUGCCAAUGGCACUGCCCGGUAGCUAAAUGCGGAAGAGAUAAGUGCUGAAAGCAUCUAAGCACGAAACUUGCCCCGAGAUGAGUUCU
rnacentral:rRNA from 2 species